rnacentral:rRNA from 1 species
GGGAGGCAGCAGUGGGGAAUCUUAGACAAUGGGCGCAAGCCUGAUCUAGCCAUGCCGCGUGUGUGAUGAAGGCCUUAGGGUCGUAAAGCACUUUCGCCAGGGAUGAUAAUGACAGUACCUGGUAAAGAAACCCCGGCUAACUCCGUGCCAGCAGCCGCGGUAAUACGGAGGGUGCGAGCGUUAAUCGGAAUUACUGGGCGUAAAGCGUACGUAGGCGGAUUGGAAAGUAGGGGGUGAAAUCCCAGGGCUCAACCCUGGAACUGCCUCCUAAACUAUCAGUCUAGAGUUCGAGAGAGGUAAGUGGAAUUCCGAGUGUAGAGGUGAAAUUCGUAGAUAUUCGGAGGAACACCAGUGGCGAAGGCGGCUUACUGGCUCGAUACUGACGCUGAGGUGCGAAAGUGUGGGGAGCAAACAGGAUUAGAUACUCUGGUAGUCCACACCGUAAACGAUGAAUGCCAGACGUCAGGGGGCUUGCCCUUUGGUGUCACACCUAACGGAUUAAGCAUUCCGCCUGGGGAGUAGCGGUCGCAAGGAUUAAAAACUCAAA